CCCUUAGAUGUUCUGGGCUGCACGCGUGCUACACUGAUAUUGCCAAUAUGUCAUUCUUAUCCGAAAUGGAUUGGGUAAUCAAGUAAUGAAAUUUCAUGCUUGGAAUCGGUAAUUGCAAUUUUAUCGUGGACGAGGAAUUCCUAGUAAGCACUAGUCAUCAGCUAAUGUUGAUUAUGUCCCUGCCCUUUGUACACACCGCCCGUCGCUACUACUGAUUGGGUGUUCAAGUGAGAUGCUUAGACCCUUGUUGCAUGGUUCAUUAUUGUGCUCCGAAAGGAAAAAGUUUCAAGCUUGAGUGUCUAGAGGAAGUAAAAGUCGUAACA
rnacentral:rRNA from 1 species